rnacentral:rRNA from 1 species
GACGGGGGGGGCAAGUGUUCUUCGGAAUGACUGGGCGUAAAGGGCACGUAGGCGGUGAAUCGGGUUGAAAGUGAAAGUCGCCAGCUCAACUGGCGGAAUGCUUUCAAAACCAAUUCACUUGAGUAAGAUAGAGGAUAGUGGAAUUUCGUGUGUAGAGAUAAAAUUCACAGAUAUACGAAGGAACACCAAAAGCGAAGGCAGCUUUCUGGGUCUCUACUGACGCUGAGGUGCGAAAGCAUAGGGAGCAAACAGG